UUCCAGACUCCUACGGGAGGCAGCAGUGAGGAAUAUUGGUCAAUGGGCGCGAGCCUGAACCAGCCAAGUAGCGUGAAGGAUGACUGCCCUACGGGUUGUAAACUUCUUUUAUAAAGGAAUAAAGUGAGGCACGUGUGCCUUUUUGUAUGUACUUUAUGAAUAAGGAUCGGCUAACUCCGUGCCAGCAGCCGCGGUAAUACGGAGGAUGCGAGCGUUAUCCGGAUUUAUUGGGUUUAAAGGGUGCGUAGGCGGGACCUUAAGUCAGCGGUAAAAUUGCGGUGCUCAACGCCGUAGAGCCGUUGAAACUGGGGUUCUUGAGUGAGCGAGAAGUAUGCGGAAUGCGUGGUGUAGCGGUGAAAUGCAUAGAUAUCACGCAGAACCCCGAUUGCGAAGGCAGCAUACCGGCGCUCAACUGACGCUGAGGCACGAAAGUGCGGGUAUCGAACAGGAUUAGAUACCCGAGUAA
rnacentral:rRNA from 1 species